GACGAACGCUGGCGGCGUGCUUAACACAUGCAAGUCGAACGGACAGGCCCUGCUUUUGUGGGGUGCUCGAGUGGCGAACGGGUGAGUAACACGUGAGUAACCUGCCCUUGACUUUGGGAUAACUUCAGGAAACUGGGGCUAAUACCGGAUAGGAGCUCCUGCUGCAUGGUGUGGGUUGGAAAGUUUCGGCGGUUGGGGAUGGACUCGCGGCUUAUCAGCUUGUUGGUGGGGUAGUGGCUUACCAAGGCUUUGACGGGUAGCCGGCCUGAGAGGGUGACCGGCCACAUUGGGACUGAGAUACGGCCCAGACUCCUACGGGAGGCAGCAGUGGGGAAUAUUGCACAAUGGGCGGAAGCCUGAUGCAGCAACGCCGCGUGCGGGAUGACGGCCUUCGGGUUGUAAACCGCUUUCGCCUGUGACGAAGCGUGAGUGACGGUAAUGGGUAAAGAAGCACCGGCUAACUACGUG
rnacentral:rRNA from 1 species